AAAAAGCUGCUUGUUGCUGACCAGAGGAGCGCAUGCCUGAAGCUUUCCGCUGAGCCGCUAUUGAGGGGCAUUGACUCAGUGAGUGGAAGAGGUUUGUUUGAAACAGGCCGCAAUGGAGAGACCAGCGCCCAGGGAAGCGAGGGAACAGCAGGCUCCUUCCAGCAGCGCAUCGAGAUGCAAUUAUCUGAUGUGUCAAGACAAUGUCACGUUUCCGUGGUGCAACACCAAGUGUGACUAGCUGCUCCUACUAACAGCAGGAGUGAAACUCCAGACCUUGGACAAAGACUCGGGGCAGGCAGAAUUCAGGCCCGUGGCAGUAUUUCGUCAACCAGUCACCAGAUCAUGUGGGGAGAGGGCCACAGCCACCCCUCUUGAAGAUGCAGUUACAUCAUUAAUUUUUAGCUCAGAUUGGAAAGCGAUUGAUGACACUCUGAUUCUCACAGUGGAAUACAGUAUUAUACAUUUUGUUGCAGUGAUUCAAUGCAACGGGAUCACUGUGCCUUUCCCCUUAUUCUAUACAACAAAUCCUUUGAAACUCCUAACUGAAGAUGGGCCCUCUAUUAGCCAGGCCAAGAGUCGCCACAAUCACAUAAUGUUUAACAGACAAUGUAAUCACCAGGCCAUGGGAUCUUUCCAUGCAUCUAUUAAUUCGCUUUUCAAAGUUACUGGCUGUACACCUUCAGUCAUGCCCCAGAAUCGCUUACCUAUCAGGCUAUCUUGAAUUCUGCUGUCAAUUGUAUUAAUUUUGUGUCUCUAUUAAAUUCUGUUACUCCUCUUAUUUUCCCACUGUCUGAAUCAUAAUAAAACAGACAGUUGACUCCUACUAGGAGGCCAGGCAGCAUCAGAGUAUCAGGAAAGUUGAUGCUUCUGAAGAAGAGUCCUGACCCACAACUUAAACUUUCCUGCACCUCUGAUGCUGCCUGGCCUGCUGUGUUCCUCCAGCUCCACAUUGUGUUAUCUCCAACUGCAGCAUUGGCAGGGCUUACUAUUGCUGAGUUGAUUCUUACGACUUGCUGUGAGAUUCAUGAUAUUAAUUGUAUUCUAAAGUGAGUUUUAUUUAAAGCAUUAUGCUUACCCUACUCUUAGCUCUGUUGGAGCUAAUGAAUUGUGAGCCAUUUGCUUCUUAUUGGAUGCACCAGGCAUUCCUUUAGUGACAUAGGAAACCUUCUGGUGACUAAUUAACUUUCAUACCCAUGUUUGAAUCUUCUCCCCUAAUGCUUAUAUAUAGAUUUAGAAUUACAUUGAAAUCCAUCUGAAGGAUCUUUAACUGGAACCAAUUUCUUAAUAGCGUGAAUAUUGCUGCAAGAUGGAGUUAUCUGCUGUUUUCAUGAUUAGCUAGGCCAGCUGUCUUUGGGAUGAUUGACACCCCUCGUCCUAACUAACUAUAUUCAUCUAAUGGGACAACAUCCUUUCAUUAAAGGGACUGAAGUCAAUUGCUUAUCAAUUUUAAUGAACUUGUUUGAUUCUGUAGAUUUUUUUAUGAGCCAUAAUCCCAUGAGUUCAACUGUUUGUUUCUUGCAGAAUUUACUGUCCCCUUCAAUCUUUGUUGCAAACCUUCAAACUGUCUCCAACAAAUCUUGCAGCUGUUGUUUGUGCAAUGCUCCCUUUUGCCUCGGAAUAACCUCUUCUCCAAAGUACCAUUGUGUCUUUGUUAAAUGCUGGAGCAGGCUUUAUUCAUUCGUUCUGUUUAACCACGUGUCAGUCAUAGGCAGCAGGGCUAGAGGAACAGCUUAGCUGCCAGCCAUUCGGUGUCUCUUCGACUUGGGCAGCCCGAACAUUGCUCAUUCAAUUCUGAGAUAGCUGGAGGCAGGGAGUUAUUAACAUGACCUGGGGAAGAGCUCUAUUAUUGCUCCACAAAGGGCCGACGCCUCAGGUUGAAGCAUUCUCUGCCCUUUUCCCCACAGCCCCAGUUGCUUUCUUCACAGUAGGAGAGAAGGGAAUUAGGGAAUGACCCAUUGAUGUUUGUUGUUGGGAAUUAUUGGGAAAAGCAGUCCAUGCCAUUGGUGGCCCUGCCCCAAAUGCUGCUUGUUUGGCUACUGUUUCACACUGUUUAUCGUCAUUGUGCAAAGAAUAGUGGAAACACAGGCAAGAUGGUGGAAAUAUAAGAAUCCUGUAAAGGAUGCAGAUUGGAGUCAACAGAUUCUAUGUCUCGAGCAAAAACAUUUGAAAUAGUGUUUGUUGUGCUUCUUUACAACAGUUAGUGUGUUGGGAUCUGGUAACACAAACUGUGUCAAUAUUACAGCAUCCUCAGGUAGCACCUUUAGAUGCAGCUGUGCAAUUGUUCAGUUUCUGGACCUCGCUGAGUUAGACCUGUGUUUGAAUUGAUGGCUUCAAAGAAAAGGCCGAAGUCUCACGAUUUGUGUGAUAGUCCAAUAGGCUUAUUUUAAAAUCUCAAGCUUUUGGAGCUCUGCUGCAUUGUCAGGUGAAGUUGAAGAAAAGAAACAUCCUAAUAAUUAUCAACUGAAUGUACGUUAAUCUGUUUGAGAUUGUCAAACCUGGCUGAUGCUGAUUUACAGAAUGUUUCUCUUCUGUUUUCAUCCAGGCAAAUACAUGAAGGACCAAGACAGUGUAUCAUUUCCUUGGUGCAAAGCCAAGUGUGAGCAGCUGCUUCUCACAAACAGCAGGUAUGUUACCGCUGUCAGAAUGGAUCAUUUCCACAGGCGUCGAGCAGUUUGAGUCAGAGACACGGUGAUCUCAAUUUCCAGAGAAAUGCAUUCAAGCCAACAGUCAAAUACAAGCAACAAAAUACAAGUAGUUUGUUUUCUCUCUUCCCAAUGCACACCUCCUCGGUUGCUAUAAUUUUCUUCAUUCAUAGCCUACUGAUAUUUACAACAUUUUUGAAAAGUCACAGACUGAAUCUUCAUCUGAGACGGACACCGAGGAACUGCACUAAAUCUGCAUUUAGUAAGCAUGUUUUUCAAGUUACUGUCAAGUGAAGAAAUAGUUCAUGCAGUUACAUAGUUACUUCGCACAGUGUGAGUACAGAUAUGGAAGAAAACAUUCACGUUAUCAGUAACUGAGCAGGACGGUGUCUAUGUUUUGACAAAUUGAUGUCCCAUGCAUAGAGAGAAGAAUUAAAUAAUGUGACUUCCAAAUGUGUGACAUAAAAUGGUUACUGAGAGCACAUAACAUAAACUGCACAUGCGCGCGCGCACACACGCACCGACUUACUGAGUGAUUUACAAUGUAUUCCAAAUACAUAGAUGCACUGUUCCAACACACAUUCCUCAACAUCUAAUAGCCAUGAAGACCAUGUACACUUCAAGCCUCAGCACAUGUAACACUAAAAAUGAUUUCUACUCUCAGAUUUCAGGUCAGAGAGCUAGCCUUCUAUGAAAGAGACAAACAGAACAAAAAGUGAGCUCAGUUCUCCAAUCUCCAUGCACUCCCUGUAGGAUUUAACUACAUGGUAAUGGCCAUGGUCAUAAAUUAAGUAUCAAUUGUUUGCGACAUCAUUAAAAAAAAUUGUGUGAAUUUUUUGACAUAAUUACUUCCCAUGAAGUAGUCCAAGUAGUAGAUUGAACAAGAGAUUCAUUGUACCUCCAAAUAUCUCACGGUGUCUUAGACUGAGAGAGGUAACUGAAGUUUUUUUUUCCUUUUGUACAAACUGGAGGAAUUGCAUAUCAGGACAAGUGUCAGAUUGAAACCUAUAUUGCCAUUGAAUUUGUUUACCCCACAAACUGAAUAGCAGAACCCACUGCCGAAUAUAAAGUUUUAAAUCUACCUGAAGGAAAUUAAAUAUUGACCUGAAAACAGGCAGAAAAUAACAUAUGUUCAAGCAGAUACCAAGUUUUUUGACUUACAAUUAAGAAUGAUUCGUACAGUGAACUUGCAACAAAAAUGUGCACAUUAAACUCAACACAUUCAAACCAGAGACUGACCAAUAUUAGAAUAAAACUUAAACUGUACCAUAGAAUGAAUAUUGUGGAACAUACUCAAACUUCAGCCGCACUGCUAGAGUUAGCGAAUGGUAUAAACACUGACGGUUUCACUUACAGCACCUUACAUAGCUGCAGAUAAAAUCUUAUUCAUGUUAAUGAGCAGAUAUUUGAACAUCAAAGAAAACCUGCAGAUGUUGAAAGAGCAAUAUUCAGCUGAAACUGACAGUCACAGAUCGAUAACUUCACUUGCACAUUUACACAGCAGAAACUUGACAGGGAGAGAAUGAUAAAUGCAUUUACAAAUCAGAUAGCGACAGGUAUAGCUUAAUAAUUAGUUUCUCAGAUUUACAGGGCAGGGUCUGACUGGCAGAAAUGAGAGAAAAUACUCUCUCAGCCAGAGAGAAGAAAGUGACAAUCACAUAUCAUUGAGGCAGAGAGUAGUAGUAGAAGGGAGUUUCUCAAAUUGGAGACCUGUGACCGGUCGUGUUCCACAGGGAUCUGUGCUGGGACCACUGUUGUUUGUGAUAUACAUAAAUGAUCUGGAGGAAGGUGUAGGUGGUCUGUGCAGCAAGUUUGCAGAUGACAUUAAGAUUGGUGGAGUAGCAGAUAGUGAGGGGGACUGUCAGAGAUGACAGCAGAAUAUAAAUAGACUGGAGAGUUGGGCAGAUGGAGUUCAAUCCGUGCAAAUGCGAGGUGAUGCAUUUUGGAAGAUUUAAUUCAAGGGUGUACUAUACAGUAAAUGGAAGAGUCCUAGGGAAAAUUGAUGAACAGAGAGAUCUGGGUGUUCAGGUCCUUUGUUCCCUGAAGGUGGCAACGCAGGUCAAUAGUGUGGUCAAGAAGGCAUAUGGCAUGCUUUCCUUCAUCGGACGGGGUAUUGAGUACAAGAGUUGGCAGGUCAUGUUACAGUUGUAUCAGACAUUAGUUCGGCCACAUUUAGAAUACUGUGUACAGUUCUGGUCGCCAGAUCACCAACAGGAUGUGGACUGUUUGGAGAGGGUGCAGGGGAGGUUUACCAGGAUGUUGCCUGGUAUGGAGGGUGCUGGCUAUGAAGAGAGGUUGAGUAGAUUAGGAUUAUUUUCAUUAGAAAGACGGAGAGUGAGGCGGGGAUCUGAAUGAGGUCUACAAAAUCAUGAGGGAUAUAGACAGGGUGGAUAGCAAGAAGCUUUUUCCCAGUGUGGGGGACUCAAUUACUAUGGGUCCUGAGUUCAAAGUGAGAGGAUGAAAGGUUAAGGGAGAUAUGUGUGGAAAGUUCUUUAUACAGAGGGUGACGGGUGCCUCGAAUGCGUUGCCAGUGGAGGUAGUAGAUGCAGACACAUUAGCAUUUUUUGAGAUCUAUUUGGACAGGUAUCUGGAUGGGCAGGGAGCAAAGGGACACAGACCCUUAGAAAAUAGAUGACAGGUUAGACAGAGGAUCUCGAUCGGCACAGGCUUGGAGGGCGGAAGGGUAUUUUCCUGUGCUGUAAUUUUCUUUGUUCUCUUUAUUCUUUGUAUAUCGAUAACUACACUCUUGUCUUCACGUAUCAGAAAACGACAGGGACAAUGACAAUUAUGCACACAUUCAGAAUGCAAAAUAACUGACAGGUACAGAUUGAUAAAUAUAUGCACACAUUAUGAAAAUGUAGAGAUUGUGAUCUAUAUUUGCACAUUCACAGAAAUUUGACAUUUUUUUUGCAAUGCACUCCCACAUUCAUGACGCAGGAAUGGAUGGGUAUUGAUUGACAACUAAACUCACAUAUGACACAGCAGAAACUGAGAGGGGCAGUUUGAUAAUUACAAUCACAUCUUCACGAGCAGCUACUGACAAAUACAGAUCAAUAGCUACACCCAGUUCUUCACAAAACCAAAGUUAACAGGUACAGAUUAAUAACUAAAUUCCUGUCUUGAUGAUACAGAAACUGCUAGGUACAGGUUUAUAAAAAUGCUCACACAUUCCCCAAGCAGAAACUGACAGGAAUAUAUUAAAAACAAAACCUCAGUUUCUGCUCCAUGAAUGUAUCAGGGAUAGACUGACAAUUACACAAACACAUUUGAAUAUUCUGAUUUCAGAUACUGACAGGGACAGAUUGACAACUUCAUUCAUUGACACACACACACACACACACACACCCCUGAAACUGACAGGCAAACUAUGAUAAAUGUAUUCACACCUCUACAACUUUCUGAAGAAGGGCCCAGGCCCGAAACAUCAGCUUUCCUGUUCCUCUGAUGCUGCUUAGCAUGCUGUGUUCAUCCAGCUCUGUGCCUUGUUAUAACAGAUUUAUAACUACACUGUCAGAUACACACGGGAGAAACUGAAAGUUACAGAUUGGUAAAUAUGCUCAUGCUGGCAUGCAGCAAAAACUGACACAAAAAAAAACAGCUCCUGUAAACCGUCAUCAGAUGGGUUU